GGCAGCAGAAGGAGACAGAGCAGUGCGGCUGGGAAGCACUUUGAGAAGCUGAAAUUUCCUUUUCCUUCAUGUCUGUGGGAUUUCCAGCACAUCUGCAUCAUAGGGAGGCUGUGUGCCCUCUACAUGCCCCACUGUUAAGAAGAGGAAAGAAGUUUUAUGAUGACAAAAGUGAGAGCUGAGGAAACGAGCACUUUUCUCUCGGAGAUCGCGGCAGGACGCUGGAAGCAGGGGGCGAGGCUGGACUGGGCUGGUUAAGGUGAGG